CCAGACUCCUACGGGAGGCAGCAGUGGGGAAUAUUGCACAAUGGGGGGAACCCUGAUGCAGCGACGCCGCGUGAGUGAAGAAGUAUUUCGGUAUGUAAAGCUCUAUCAGCAGGGAAGAAGAUGACGGUACCUGACUAAGAAGCCCCGGCUAACUACGUGCCAGCAGCCGCGGUAAUACGUAGGGGGCAAGCGUUAUCCGGAUUUACUGGGUGUAAAGGGAGCGUAGACGGCAGGGCAAGUCUGGAGUGAAAGCCCGGGGCCCAACCCCGGGACUGCUUUGGAAACUGCCAUGCUGUAGUGCUGGAGAGGUAAGCGGAAUUCCUAGUGUAGCGGUGAAAUGCGUAGAUAUUAGGAGGAACACCAGUGGCGAAGGCGGCUUACUGGACAGUAACUGACGUUGAGGCUCGAAAGCGUGGGGAGCAAACAGGAUUAGAUACCCUCGUA
rnacentral:rRNA from 1 species